UGGGGAAUAUUGGACAAUGGGGGCAACCCUGAUCCAGCCAUGCCGCGUGAGUGAUGAAGGCCUUCGGGUUGUAAAGCUCUUUUGGCGGGGACGAUGAUGACGGUACCCGCAGAAUAAGCCCCGGCUAACUUCGUGCCAGCAGCCGCGGUAAGACGAAGGGGGCUAGCGUUGUUCGGAAUUACUGGGCGUAAAGCGAGUGUAGGCGGUUGCCGUAGUCAGGUGUGAAAGCCUUGAGCUCAACUCAAGAAAUGCACUUGAUACUGGGUGACUAGAGGACCGGAGAGGAUAGUGGAAUUCCCAGUGUAGUGGUGAAAUACGUAGAGAUUGGGAAGAACACCAGUGGCGAAGGCGGCUAUCUGGACGGUUACUGACGCUAAGACUCGAAAGCGUGGGGAGCAAACAGGAUUAGAUACCCUGGUAGUCCACGCCGUAAGCGAUGGGUGCUAGACGUUGGCGAGCUUGCUCAUCAGUGUCGCAGCUAACGCGUUAAGCACCCCGCCUGGGGAGUACGGCCGCAAGGUUGAAACUCAAAUGAAUUGACGGGGGUCAUAGCUGUUUCC
rnacentral:rRNA from 1 species